rnacentral:rRNA from 1 species
GACGAACGCUGGCGGCGUGCUUAACACAUGCAAGUCGAACGGAAAGGCCCUGCUUUUGUGGGGUGCUCGAGUGGAGAACGGGUGAGUAACACGUGAGUAACAUGCCCUUUACUUUGGGAUAACUUCAGGAAACUGGGGCUAAUAUCGGAUAGGAGCUCCUGCUGCAUGGUGGGGGUUGGAAAGUUUCGGCGGUUGGGGAUGGACUCGCGGCUUAUCAGCUUGUUGGUGGGGUAGUGGCUUACAAAGGCGUUGACGGGUAGCCGGACUGAGAGGGUGACCGGCCACAUUGGGACUGAGAUACGGCCCAGACUCCUACGGGAGGCAGCAGUGGGGAAUAUUGCACAAUGGGCGGAAGCCUGAUGCAGCAACUCCGCGUGCGGGAUGACGGCCUUCGGGUUGUAAACCGCUUUCGCCUGUGACGAAGCGUGAGUGACGGUAAUGGGUAAAGAAGCACCGGCUAACUACGUG